rnacentral:rRNA from 2 species
GCGACCCCAGGUCAGGCGGGAUKACCCGCU